ACAUGCCUACAUCAUAGCGUUAAUGCACCGGAUCCCAUUGGAACUUUGUAGUUAAGUGCGCUCGGGCUAGAGUAGUACUGGGAUGGGUGACCGCCUGGGAAGUCCCAGUGUUUUACAUGCC
rnacentral:rRNA from 1 species